UACGAAGGGGGCUAGCGUUGCUCGGAAUUACUGGGCGUAAAGCGCACGUAGGCGGCUUUUUAAGUCGGGGGUGAAAUCCUGGAGCUCAACUCCAGAACUGCCUUCGAUACUGGAGAGCUUGAGUCCGGGAGAGGUGAGUGGAACUGCGAGUGUAGAGGUGAAAUUCGUAGAUAUUCGCAAGAACACCAGUGGCGAAGGCGGCUCACUGGCCCGGUACUGACGCUGAGGUGCGAAAGCGUGGGGAGCAAACAGG
rnacentral:rRNA from 1 species